UGCCAGUGAUAAACUGGAGGAAGGUGGGGAUGACGUCAAGUCAUCAUGGCCCUUACGAGUAGGGCUACACACGUGCUACAAUGGCGCAUACAAAGAGAAGCGACCUCGCGAGAGCAAGCGGACCUCAUAAAGUGCGUCGUAGUCCGGAUUGGAGUCUGCAACUCGACUCCAUGAAGUCGGAAUCGCUAGUAAUCGUAGAUCAGAAUGCUACGGUGAAUACGUUCCCGGGCCUUGUACACACCGCCCGUCACACCAUGGGAGUGGGUUGCAAAAGAAGUAGGUAGCUUAACCUUCGGGAGGGCGCUUACCACUUUGUGAUUCAUGACUGGGGUGAAGUCGUAACAAGGUAACCGUAGGGGAACCUGCGGUUGGAUCACCUCCUU
rnacentral:rRNA from 5 species